GAUGAACGCUGGCGGCGUGCCUAAUACAUGCAAGUCGAGCGAACAGACGAGGAGCUUGCUCCUCUGACGUUAGCGGCGGACGGGUGAGUAACACGUGGAUAACCUACCUAUAAGACUUGGAUAACUUCGGGAAACCGGAGCUAAUACCGGAUAAUAUAUUGAACCGCAUGGUUCAAUAGUGAAAGACGGUUUUGUUGUCACUUAUAGAUGGAUCCGCGCCGCAUUAGCUAGUUGGUAAGGUAACGGCUUACCAAGGCAACGAUGCGUAGCCGACCUGAGGGGGUGAUCGGCCACACUGGAACUGAGACGCGGUCCAGACUCCUACGGGAGGCAGCUGUAGGCAAUCUUCCGCAAUGGGCGAAAGCCUGACGAAGCAACGCCGCGUGAGUGAUGAAGGUCUUCGGAUCGUAAAACUCUGUAUUAGGGAAGAACAAAUGUGUAAGUAACUAUGCACGUCUUGACGGUACCUAAUCAGAAAGCCACGGCUAACUACGUG
rnacentral:rRNA from 1 species